GCGGACGGGUGAGGAACACAUCGGAAUUUGCCCAGUCGUGGGGGAUAACGUAGGGAAACUUACGCUAAUACCGCAUACGACCGAUAAGGUGAAAGCGGGGGAUCUGUAAGGACCUCGCGCGGAUGGAUAAGCCGAUGUCGGAUUAGCUAGUUGGCGGGGUAAGAGCCCACCAAGGCGACGAUCCGUAGCUGGUCUGAGAGGAUGAUCAGCCACACUGGGACUGAGACACGGUCCAGACUCCUACGGGAGGCAGCAGUGGGGAAUAUUGGACAAUGGGGGCAACCCUGAUCCAGCAAUGCCGCGUGUAGUGAAGAAGGCCUUCAGGUUGUAAAGCACUUUUAUCCGGAACGAAACGCGCAGGGUGAAUAUCCUUGCGAACUGACGGUACCGGAGGAAUAAGCACCGGCUAACUUCGUGCCAGCAGCCGCGGUAAUACGAAGGGUGCAAGCGUUACUCGGAAUUACUGGGCGUAAAGGGUGCGUAGGUGGUUGUUUAAGUUUGCUGUGAAAGCCCCGGGCUCAACCUGGGAAUGGCAGUGAAUACUGGAUAGCUAGAGUGCGGUAGAGGGUAGUGGAAUUCCCGGUGUAGCAGUGAAAU
rnacentral:rRNA from 1 species